rnacentral:rRNA from 1 species
GUUGAACGCUGGCGGCAUGCCUUGCACAUGCAAGUCGAACGGCAGCACGGGGGCAACCCUGGUGGCGAGUGGCGAACGGGUGAGUAAUGCAUCGGAACGUGCCCAGUAGUGGGGGAUAACCAGUCGAAAGACUGGCUAAUACCGCAUACGACCCAAGGGUGAAAGCGGGGGACCGUAAGGCCUCGCGCUAUUGGAGCGGCCGAUGUCUGAUUAGCUAGUUGGCGGGGUAAGAGCCCACCAAGGCGACGAUCAGUAGCUGGUCUGAGAGGACGACCAGCCACACUGGGACUGAGACACGGCCCAGACUCCGACGGGAGGCAGCAGUGGGGAAUUUUGGACAAUGGGCGCAAGCCUGAUCCAGCCAUGCCGCGUGCGGGAAGAAGGCCUUCGGGUUGUAAACCGCUUUUGGCAGGAACGAAACGGCGCAGGCCAAUACCUUGCGCUAAUGACGGUACCUGCAGAAUAAGCACCGGCUAACUACGUGCCAGCCGCCGCGGUAAUAC